rnacentral:rRNA from 1 species
CACGUAGGGCGCAAGCGUUGUCCGGAAUUAUUGGGCGUAAAGAGCUCGUAGGCGGUCUGUUGCGUCCGCUGUGAAAACUCGGGGCUUAACCCCGAGCCUGCAGUGGAUACGGGCAGACUAGAGGUAGGUAGGGGAGAAUGGAAUUCCCGGUGUAGCGGUGAAAUGCGCAGAUAUCGGGAGGAACACCGGUGGCGAAGGCGAAUCUCUGGACAGUUACUGACACUGAGGCACGAAGGCCAGGGGAGCAAACGGG